UACAGAGACCUCAAACGUUAUCCGGAUUCAUUGGGCGUAAAGCGUCCGCAGGUGGUUUGGUAAGUGAGUGGUUAAAUCCCGGGGCUCAACUUCGGGGCUGCCGUUCAUACUGCCAAGCUCGAGGAUGGAAGAGGUAAGCGGAAUUCUCGGUGUAGUCGUAAUAAGCGCUGAUAUCGAGAAGAGCACCAAAGGCGAAGGCAGCUUACUGGUACAUUCCUGACACUCAUGGACGAAAGCGUGGGGAGCGAAUAGG
rnacentral:rRNA from 1 species